rnacentral:rRNA from 1 species
GUCUGUUUGUAGUUAUAAAGAGUCUGGCCUGCCCACUGAUAAUUUUAAGGGCCGCGGUAUUAUGACCGUGCAAAGGUAGCAUAAUAAUUAGUCUUUUAAUUGAAGGCUCGUAUGAAUGGUUGGACAAAAGGAAUACUGUCUCUAUUUUAUUACUUGAAAUUAACUUUUAAGUGAAAAGGCUUAAAUAUAUCAGAGGGACGAUAAGACCCUAUAAAGCUUUAUAAAUAUUGUGUUUUUAAUUGAAUUUAUUAUAAUAAUCAAAAAUACUUUUUUUAUUAGGUUGGGGCGACAAAGGUAUAAUUAAUUUUUAACUGCUUUAUAAAAAUACAUAAAAUAAAUGAUUUGUCUGUAAACGAUCCUUUAUAUUGAGAUUUAAAGAUUAAGUUACUUUAGGGAUAACAGCGUUAUUUUCUUUGAGAGUUCAUAUCGAAAAGAAAGCUUGCGACCUCGAUGUUGAAUUAAAUUUUCUAUAUGGCGCAGCAGCUAUAUAAGAAGGUCUGUUCGACCUUUAAAAUUUUACAUGAUUUGAGUUCAGACCGGCGUGAGCCAGGUUGGUUUCUAUCUUCUGAGGAAAAAAUUACUAUUUUAGUACGAAAGGAUUAAAUAGUCGAAAAUAUUUUAUUAAUGAUUAA